rnacentral:rRNA from 1 species
CAGCAGUGGGGAAUAUUGCACAAUGGGCGCAAGCCUGAUGCAGCCAUGCCGCGUGUAUGAAGAAGGCCUUCGGGUUGUAAAGUACUUUCAGCAGUGAGGAAGGUGGGUAUGUUAAUAGCAUACUCAUUUGACGUUAGCUGCAGAAGAAGCACCGGCUAACUCCGUGCCAGCAGCCGCGGUAAUACGGAGGGUGCGAGCGUUAAUCGGAAUUACUGGGCGUAAAGCGCAUGCAGGUGGUUUGUUAAGUCAGAUGUGAAAGCCCGGGGCUCAACCUCGGAAUUGCAUUUGAAACUGGCAAACUAGAGUACUGUAGAGGGGGGUAGAAUUUCAGGUGUAGCGGUGAAAAUGCGUAGAGAUCUGAAGGAAUACCGGUGGCGAAGGCGGCCCCCUGGACAGAUACUGACACUCAGAUGCGAAAGCGUGGGGAGCAAACAGGAUUAGAUUACCCUGGUAG